CCCUAUGGGGUGCACAAAGGCCAUUUUACGGCCAGGCAAGACCAGGGCUUCCUCAUUGAUCAACCGAAUUCCGGCUGUUUUCAGUUGGGCCAGCAUGGCGUCGAUAUCCGCGACCUCAACGCACAGGUGGUGCAACCCCUCGCCACGCUUCUCCAGGAAGCUCGCCGUUCCCGAUUCCGCCGUGGUUGGCUGGACCAGCUCAAUUUCCGAAUCGCCAACCGGAAGAAACGCCACUCGGGCCUGCUGGGAGGGUACCUCUUCAAUGUGGUCAAGCUGGAUGCCGAGCGCGUUUUCCCAGAAGGGCAGAGAGGCAUCAAUAUCCCGGACGACAAUCGCGAUGUGAUUGAGUUUCUUAAUGGUUUCCAUGUUUUCCUUUAGAGGUAAUUGGGAGC
rnacentral:rRNA from 1 species